rnacentral:rRNA from 1 species
CAGCAGCCGCGGUAAUACGAAGGGUGCAAGCGUUAAUCGGAAUUACUGGGCGUAAAGCGUGCGUAGGCGGUUUGUUAAGUCUGCUGUGAAAUCCCCGGGCUCAACCUGGGAAUGGCAGUGGAUACUGGCAAGCUAGAGUGUGUCAGAGGAUGGUGGAAUUCCCGGUGUAGCGGUGAAAUGCGUAGAGAUCGGGAGGAACAUCAGUGGCGAAGGCGGCCAUCUGGGACAACACUGACGCUGAGGCACGAAAGCGUGGGGAGCAAACAGGAUUAGAUACCCCAGUAGUCCCUGUCUCUUAUAC